rnacentral:rRNA from 1 species
AGUAACGCGUGGGUAACCUGCCUCAUACAGGGGGAUAACAGUUAGAAAUGACUGCUAAUACCGCAUAAGACCACAGCACUGCAUGGUGCAGUGGUAAAACUCCGGUGGUAUGAGAUGGACCCGCGUCUGAUUAGCCAGUUGGCAGGGUAACGGCCUACCAAAGCGACGAUCAGUAGCCGGCCUGAGAGGGUGAACGGCCACAUUGGGACUGAGACACGGCCCAAACUCCUACGGGAGGCAGCAG